UGACCGCUGGCGGCGUGCUUAACACAUGCAAGUCGAACGGAGAGGCCCAAGCUUGCUUGGGUACUCGAGUGGCGAACGGGUGAGUAACACGUGGGUGAUCUGCCCUGCACUUCGGGAUAAGCCUGGGAAACUGGGUCUAAUACCGGAUAGGACGAUGGUUUGGAUGCCAUUGUGGAAAGUUUUUUCGGUGUGGGAUGAGCUCGCGGCCUAUCAGCUUGUUGGUGGGGUAAUGGCCUACCAAGGCGUCGACGGGUAGCCGGCCUGAGAGGGUGUACGGCCACAUUGGGACUGAGAUACGGCCCAGACUCCUACGGGAGGCAGCAGUGGGGAAUAUUGCACAAUGGGCGCAGGCCUGAUGCAGCGACGCCGCGUGGGGGAUGACGGCCUUCGGGUUGUAAACUCCUUUCGCUAGGGACGAAGCGUUUUUGUGACGGUACCUGGAGAAGAAGCACCGGCUAACUACGUG
rnacentral:rRNA from 1 species